UGACUUUCUAUGAGAAGACUCAUGUG
rnacentral:piRNA from 1 species